UGGGGAAUAUUGGACAAUGGGCGAAAGCCUGAUCCAGCAAUGCCGCGUGAGUGAUGAAGGCCCUAGGGUUGUAAAGCUCUUUUACCCGGGAAGAUAAUGACUGUACCGGGAGAAUAAGCCCCGGCUAACUCCGUGCCAGCAGCCGCGGUAAUACGGAGGGGGCUAGCGUUGUUCGGAAUUACUGGGCGUAAAGCGCACGUAGGCGGCUUUGUAAGUUAGAGGUGAAAGCCCGGGGCUCAACCCCGGAAUAGCCUUUAAGACUGCAUCGCUUGAACACGGGAGAGGUGAGUGGAAUUCCGAGUGUAGAGGUGAAAUUCGUAGAUAUUCGGAAGAACACCAGUGGCGAAGGCGGCUCACUGGACCGUUGUUGACGCUGAGGUGCGAAAGCGUGGGGAGCAAACAG
rnacentral:rRNA from 1 species